AUUGAACGCUGGCGGCAGGCCUAACACAUGCAAGUCGAGCGGAGCGGCGGACGGGUGAGUAAUGCCUAGGAACCUGCCUGGUAGUGGGGGUUAACGUCCGGAAACGGGCGAUAAUACCGCUUACUAUCAGAUGAGCCUAGGUCGGAUUAGCUAGUUGGUGGGGUAAAGGCCUUCCAGGGCGACGAUCGGUAACUGGUCUUAGAGGAUGGUCAGUCACAUUGGAACUGAGAAACGGUCCAUGCUCCUCCGGGAGGCAGCAGUGGGGAAUAUUGGAAAAUGGGCGAAAGCCUGAUCCAGCCAUGCCGCGUGUGUGAAGAAGGUCUUCGGAUUGUAAAGCACUUUAAGUUGGGAGGCGUUACCAGCAGAAUAAGCACCGGCUAACUUCGUGCCAGCAGCCGCGGUAAUUC
rnacentral:rRNA from 1 species